rnacentral:lncRNA from 1 species
AUGCGGACCUGUUGGGGCCGUGGAGGAGGUCUGUCUCUCCGUUCAGGGAUCCUCCUUCUGUUAGUGCCGCCGCUUCUUCUCGCGCUGCAGCAGCUCGUGCUGGUCGGGUCCCGGUUACCGGGGCCUGAGGCUCGGGGUCCGGGCGGAGAUCCAGCUUUUACCGUCAUCAGCAUUGAACCGGUGGAGAAGUCCCGCCUGUGGGGGAACAGGGCCCUGCGCUUUGGCUUACAGGCGGAGGAGGAUGAGGAGGAGAGGAGGAAGGAUGGAGAGAGGAAGCAGAGAGGAGGUCUUUACCAGGAUGAGACUGAGCUGAGACAGAAGGAACCCAGGGUCUUGAAGGUGCAGCCGUGGGCAACCGACAAGCCAUCCUUUACAGCAGAACUCACUCGUCUCAUCACAUAUAUCACAACAGCACAGUUUGGAUGGCAACCAUGGAGACAGAAGAGGCGUGGUUACUCGGCACAAGAUGUGGCUGGAGUGGCGGGCUCAGAAGAAACGCAAACACAAGACAGGAGGACACCUGAGUGCUGUUUCUCAUACACUGGCAGAUAUCAUGGCAGCGCUGGGACACCAAUCAGUCCACUUCCUCUAUGCUGACCUGUUAAGUGCUGAAUGGCGAGUUUUUCAUAGCCUAAUUGAAGAGGACACUCUCCACCAUAUCCAUCAUCUGGUUGCCAAGGUGCACCUGCAAUGGGCAGGCUUUGAAGUGGGCGGAACCAAUGAGGAAGUUCUUCGCUAUUGGUUCAGUGUCCUUAGGGGCCUUCAAACCUCUGGACUGAAGCUGGUCCACAGCUCAGCAGGAGAGGGUCACACUGUCCUGAAGCAGACUGUAGGACAUGCCCACAGUUCCUAUACUCUGAGCUGGGUCAACACACAGUACUGACCCCCACUCAUGGAGGAACACACUGGUGUGGUGCUGGUGAAGAAGACAGAUGGAAAGGCUUAAAAACAUUUGGAGGACUUUUAGUCAAAUUCUUUUAUACUCAAAGAUUCCAGGCUAUGACUGUAUUUUGAUCAACAGCUACCUCUACUGGACAUCAAUGGAUUUGCGUUGUAUUUCCAGUUUGAUGACACUGCUGCUAUUAUCCAUCGUAAUACUGUAAUGCAGGGGUUCUCAAAAGUUUUGGACACAGGGAACAUUUUCAAGGACCCCCUCAUAAUCCUCACGUCAAUUAAAAACAAUUUACAGCCAUUUGUUCCCUUAAAUUCCAUAGGAAUUAUGUAUUAUUUGAACUUUUCAACAUGAAAAGUGUUGAAUGUGUUACCAAUAAAGAAAAUAUGUGCAAAUGUAUUUGACA